CCGAGUUUACAACUCCCAAACCCAAUGUGAACGUUACCAAACUGUUGCCUCGGCGGGAUCUCUGCCCCGGGUGCGUCGCAGCCCCGGACCAAGGCGCCCGCCGGAGGACCAACCAAAACUCUUAUUGUAUACCCCCUCGCGGGUUUUUUUAUAAUCUGAGCCUUCUCGGCGCCUCUCGUAGGCGUUUCGAAAGUGAAUCA
rnacentral:misc_RNA from 1 species